GACGAACGCUGGCGGCGUGCCUAAUACAUGCAAGUAGAACGCUGAAGCGAGGAGCUUGCUCUUCUUGGCUGAGUUGCGAACGGGUGAGUAACGCGUAGGUAACCUGCCUUGUAGCGGGGGAUAACUAUUGGAAACGAUAGCUAAUACCGCAUAACACUGGAUGACACAUGUCAUUUAUUUGAAAGGGGCAAUUGCUCCACUACAAGAUGGACCUGCGUUGUAUUAGCUAGUAGGUGAGGUAAUGGCUCACCUAGGCGACGAUACAUAGCCGACCUGAGAGGGGGAUCGGCCGCACUGGGACGGAGACACGGCCCAGACUCCUACGGGAGGCAGCAGUAGGGAAUCUUCGGCAAGGGGGGCAACCCUGACCGAGCAACGCCGCGUGAGUGAAGAAGGGUUUCGGAUCGUAAAGCUCGGUUGUAAGUCAAGAACGGGUGUGAGAGUGGAAAGUUCACACUGUGACGGUAGCUUACCAGAAAGGGACGGCUAACUACGUG
rnacentral:rRNA from 1 species